AUUGUAUCAUCUUCUUCAAGUUACCAACAGAACCUUACCUCUCUCCAUAGCUGGGGUUUCUUCAACUUUCAAGCUUCAUAAUCAAGAAGAGCGAAAUUCGAGAGUAGAUCGGGGAAAAGAAAAAGUAAAGGACUAAAUUGUAAAGUUUAGUCACAUUUUGUAUCGAGGUAAGUUUACAGUAAAUAAAUGCAAUAUUCUUUUAUUUUACAUUAUUAUUGUCAAUUUCCAGCAUUUAUAUAUUUAUGUUAUGAAAAUAUUUAAAGUCGAAUUUAAGGUGAAGUGACAGAGGAAAAGUGUUAGAAAGCCCCGGUUGAACCCUAGGAAUGUUAGGAUAUUAGGGUUGACAGGACAGAACGAAAUGAGCCAUGUAAGUCCAUAUUAGAAAUAUGGCUUUGGAGACAGGAUUGAGCCAUGUAAGUCCAUAUUAUAUAUGGCAUUGGAGACAUGAAUAAUUCAUGUAAGUCCAUGUCAAAGACAUGGCAUUGGCAGGAUAUUGAUAGACAGGAACGACCCUAGUAUCCUUAGUAUUCCGAGUGGUUCAACGGGUCAGGAUACGAGUUAAAUUACAGUGAAUUAACAGCAAAGGAAAA